CUCUUUCUGACCCCAAAUCCCACCUUUUUGGGCCUCCCCAUCCCAUCCUCUUGGUCCCCUGGGACAUCUCCCCACCAUCUCCUCUCUUUCCCAGCCAAGGCAAAGGCCCAACCCAAACUGGGUGGAACUGGGCCAAGCCCCACUGGAGUCCAAGGAGGACAAACAGGCCCAAGCUCCACACUGGGCUCAAGUGGGACAAGGCCUGGCCAGGCUGAACUGGCACCAACUGGGAAAUGCCCUGCCAUGGCCCCUUCCCAGGGCCUUUCCUCCAGGCUUUGCCCUCAAUGCCUUGCCUUUCCCCCUGCACUGGUGUCCCCAACUUGCCUGGGAGCUGCAAUCCCAAAGAGCCCCGCUCAGCCCGGGGGGCAGCCGGGGCUGGAGGGGGUGGGGACACCCGUGUCCCCCCCAGCCCCACAAGGCCAACCCCAACCAAGCCUUUGCUCUCCUCCUGCAGCCCGUUCAGGCCGGCGGCGUCCAAUGUGGGGAGGCAGGCGGGAUCGGCGGCCCGCCAAUCUCGGGACAAGGAGGAGGUGGAUGUGUUGGGGGAGGCAUGGAUGUCCACUGAGUGAAGAGGUCUGAG